rnacentral:misc_RNA from 1 species
GACGAACCGUGCUAACAUUGUUCGGAAUCACUGGGCUUAAAGGGCGCGUAGGCGGGCUGCCAAGUCUGAGGUGAAAGCCCACAGCUCAACUGUGGAAGUGCCCCGGAUACUGGUAGUCUCGAGGGAGGUAGGGGCGUGCGGAACUUCCGGUGGAGCGGUGAAAUGCGUAGAGAUCGGAAGGAACGCCGGUGGCGAAAGCGGCACGCUGGACCUCUUCUGACGCUGAGGCGCGAAAGCCAGGGGAGCAAACGGG